CAGUAGCCACGGGAAUACAGAGGGUGCAAGCGUUAAUCGGAAUUACUGGGCGUAAAGCGCGCGUAGGUGGUUUGUUAAGUUGGAUGUGAAAUCCCCGGGCUCAACCUGGGAACUGCAUCCAAAACUGGCAAGCUAGAGUAUGGUAGAGGGUGGUGGAAUUUCCUGUGUAGCGGUGAAAUGCGUAGAUAUAGGAAGGAACACCAGUGGCGAAGGCGACCACCUGGACUGAUACUGACACUGAGGUGCGAAAGCGUGGGGAGCAAACAGGAUUAGAUACCCGUGUAGUCCCUGUCUCUUAUAC
rnacentral:rRNA from 1 species